rnacentral:rRNA from 1 species
AAACAAUAUAAUUGAUCAUUUUGCCUAGAUAAUCCAAUUAUUAAGUAAUGAAUUAGUAUCUAAUUAGAGACCCGAAGAGUAGUGAUCUUACCAUGGUCAGGCUUAUAAAAGGCCGAAUGGGUAAUAUAAAGAAAUGAGCCUCUUUAAUUAGCUCAAGUAGAAGUGAACCUUCUGCUAAAGAUCGUCAAAUUGACGGGAAACCCCUAAAGCAAUCUUAACUAACUUAGUAUGGUAACAUAACUAAGGGCGCAGGUAAUGACUCGCGGUAUAGUAAAAUCAAGAUUGAUUACGAAAGUGAAUGGGCAAUCCGCAGCCAACCAGCAUAAUAGUUUUACAUUAUUAUGGUGUGCAGUUCAUCGACUAGAUGGUGAUCGGCGAAAGCUUAAGAUAUAGUCAAACCUCUAUGGAAACAUAGCAGGAUAAUAUUCUUUUAUGAAAUGGAUAAUAUAGAAACGAAUGAUGUAACAAGUUAUGCUAGUUUAACUGAGGCAGGUAAAGCAUUAGGUGUGACAAGAACUCCAGUAAGUCAAGCAUUGUUGCAUAAUAGACUAAUUAAGAAAAUAUAUUCUAUCAGUAAAAGUAAAUAAAAUUAUAUUAUCCGUUAAAUGGAUAGCAAUAAAAUGCUAUUUAGGGAGAAAAGUCUCAGCUCGGCCUAAAUUAGAAUAAAUGAAAUUCUAUGGCCAAAGAGAUAAUUUGUAUCGUUGUAAAGAUAUCCAAAGAACUGUGGUAAGUUAGUGAAAGACAAUCCUGACUACUAUAGCUGGUUUUCCGCGAAACAUAUGUAAGUAUGUAGUUUAAAGCACAUCAUAGCAGGUACAGAACUGUAAUCUCGGACAAUUUGUGCAUUAUUAUUCUUUUGGUAUUUAUACCUUUUAGUAUUUUAAUGCCUUGUGCAUAUGGGGGGGUCGUGAAGACUCUAUUCGCGAGUAUUUGCUCUCGGAAGGGCAAUGAUGAAUGUUGGACUAUCAGACAUUUAACGAUAAGGUUGUGUGUCAAAAGGGAAACAGCCCAGAACAAGUGUUUAAGGUUCCAAAGUUUUUGUUAAGUGAAAGUAAGGAAGUAUUUAAACUAUACAACCAGGAAAUAGGCUUAGAAGCGGCCAUUUUUUAAAGACCUCGUAACAGAGCACUGGUUCAAAUGGUUAAGUAAUUAACCAAAUUAGUUAAAAGCGCCGAAGAUAUAACGGAUCUAAAACAAAACACCGACACCUUGUCCAUAAUAAUAACAUUAGGUUAAAUUCUAAUGUAAUAUACUUAAAGAUUAUUUAAGUAUUAUUUAUGGGGUAGCGGAACAUUGGGUUAAUCGGAUAGAAAAAAAGACUUUCGAUUAUACUAUCUGGGGGGAAAUAUCUGUAAAAGUCAUAACCCUUGCGGCUGCAGAGGUUGCAUCCGACAAAGGGUUGUAUGUAUAUUAACAUAUGAUCCAAAGGAAGAUAGUUUAAGUUUUCAUUAACUAUAUAUUAGGAGUAUCUUAAUCUAUCCCAAGUGAGAAUGCUGACACGAGUAACGAAAAAGAGGAUGCCCUUACAGGGCCCUCUCGCCUUAAGCUUAUGGGAAAGUUAAUCGGUCUCUAAAUUUAACCUAAAGGAUAAAAUGAUGAGGAAAUUACAUGUGACAACAUAAAAUGGAGUAAAGUGUUCUGGAAAAGCAUGUAGUCUAAGGAUAUAAUUCUAGCUAGUUUAACUGGACAGAAAGAUGCUAGUCUUCCUUAAGAAUAUGAAACCGUACCUAAAAACUACCGCAAGUAAGCUAGUAGAGAAUACGAAGGCGUUUGAGCUAACAAUCAUUAAGGAACUCGGCAAAUUGACACCGUAACUGAGGGAGAAGGUGUGCCAUUCCUGUUGAUUAAUAUCAGUGUAGGAAGAGGAGACAUAAAAUGGUGUUGCACGACUGUUUAAUUAAAACACAGCACUUUGCGUAAGAUGUAAAUCAAUGUAUAGAGUGCGCUAUCUGCCCAAUGAUGGCUGGUUAACGGAUUUACUUAGACGACUAAAAUAGCCUAGGUUUUGAAGGAACCCCCAUUUAAUGGCGGCCUUACCUAUGAGGGUCCUAAGGUAGCGAAAUACCUUGGCAUUUAAAUGAUGUCGCGCAUGAAUGAUCUCACGAUGCAACAGCUGUCUCAAUGAUUGGCUCAGUGAAACUGGAAUGGCAGUGAAGAUACUGCCUAUCUCUAGAUAGACGAGAAGACCCCAUGCAGCUUUACUGUUACUAGUUAUAGGGUAUAAUGUAACAGGUUUUAGGGAAUAAGGUAGUUGAACGACAUAAUUGAAACACCUUUACUCUGGUUGUUAUAUCAGUAGAAUAAGUUACAAUUUGUAACGGACGUCUGAAUGUAAUCCAAAAAAGGAGCAAGAUCGUAGAUCAAACUCAGGAGACAAUGGCUAGCAGAUGGUUUAUGCGGGGCACAGAUCCCAUAAAGAGUACCUGGGAGUAUCCAAAUUUAUUUUUGUAAUAUGCUAUACGCAAAUUAUAUAGGGCUUUAUUUAAUAAUUGCCUUAUAUAUUUUAAUUUUUUAAUUAUUAUAUUUAGUUUGUUAUUUUUUAUAUU